CAAAAAGUCGGUUCUCUGUGUAGUCUAUUUCCCUGCUCUUUAGAGAGAUUUAUGUACCUCUGAUGCUGAGUCCCUUGGGUUAGCGAAUGCUCGAGCACAUGAAACAAACUGACAGAUGAGAGUCUGCUUUAAACCAAACAUCGCCGCAGAAAGCAAAGGCUGAGCGGAUUGAAAACGUACAUGGGAGAAAAACGCCCCGAGUUCUUAACGCGAAGUCAACAGCUCCCUUUACAAGCUGUUCAUUGGGCUUUGUUCAGAGCGUGUUUUCACAGCAGGAAACGCUCGCCCUGAAAUUGCGUGGUUCACUUUUUGUGGACCAGUGGGUGAGUGCGCCCGCCCGCCCAUCCAUCCAUCCAUCCAUCCAUCCAUCCAUCCAUCCAUCCAUCCAUCCAUCCAUCCAUCCAUAUCCAUAUCCAUAUCCAUAUCCAUAUCCAUAUCCAUAUCCAUAUCCAUAUCCAUAUCCAUAUCCAUAUCCAUAUCCAUAUCCAUAUCCAUAUCCAUAUCCAUAUCCAUAUCCAUAUCCAUAUCCAUAUCCAUAUCCAUAUCCAUAUCCAUAUCCAUAUCCAUAUCCAUAUCCAUAUCCAUAUCCAUAUCCAUAUCCAUAUCCAUAUCCAUAUCCAUAUCCAUAUCCAUAUCCAUAUCCAUAUCCAUAUCCAUAUCCAUAUCCAUAUCCAUAUCCAUAUCCAUAUCCAUAUCCAUAUCCAUAUCCAUAUCCAUAUCCAUAUCCAUAUCCAUAUCCAUAUCCAUAUCCAUAUCCAUAUCCAUAUCCAUAUCCAUAUCCAUAUCCAUAUCCAUAUCCAUAUCCAUAUCCAUAUCCAUUCACAUCCACCCACACCCAUCCAUCCCGGAGCUCCCGGUCCCGGCCGGAGCCGCUGCCCGGGCGGGGCUGGCGAGUCCCCCCCCCCCCCCCCCCCCCCCCCCCCCCCCCCCCCCCCCCCCCCCCCCCCCCCCCCCCCCCCCCCCCCCCCCCCCCCCCCCCCCCCCACCGGGCGCACGGAGAGGCCCCGGGAAUCCGCCACCGCCAGCCCGGCUGUGUUCGAUGCCGACCCGGCCACCCCAGCCGCGGCUGAGCAUCUCCGUGUGCGAGGGAUGCUUGCGCAGCGCUAACACCGGCAAAACCCGCUCCCGUGUGUUCCUCGGAGGUGCGGCGAUUUUC
rnacentral:lncRNA from 1 species